AGCUUCAGUAGCGUAUAUUAAAGUUGUUGCAGUUAAAAAGCUCGUAGUCGCAUUUCUGGCGAGAGGAUCCGGUCCGACCUUUUGGUGGGUUCUUGGGUCUCUUUCGCCAUCCUUGAGUGGUCCGUUCUGGCAUUAGGUUGUCGGAGCGUCAGCCGCUCAUCGUUUACUGUGAGAAAAUUAGAGUGUUCAAAGCAGGCUUAUGCCGUUGAAUAUAUUAGCAUGGAAUAAUAAGAUAGGACCUCGGUACUAUUUUGUUGGUUUGCGCACCAGGGUAAUGAUGAACAGGGACAGUUGGGAGUAUUUGUAUUUCGUUGUCAGAGGUGAAAUUCUUAGAUUUACGAAAGACAAACUACUGCGAAAGCAUUUACCAAGGAUGUUUUCA
rnacentral:rRNA from 1 species